AGAGUAGAGUGGCGCACGGGUGAGUAACGCGUGGGAACCUGCCAAGCAGUACGGAAUAACCUUUGGAAACGAAGGCUAAUACCGUAUACGCCCUUCGGGGGAAAGAUUUAUCGCUGUUUGAUGGUCCCGCGUCUGAUUAGCUUGUUGGUAAGGUAAUGGCUUACCAAGGCGACGAUCAGUAGCUGGUCUGAGAGGAUGAUCAGCCACACUGGAACUGAGACACGGUCCAG
rnacentral:rRNA from 1 species